rnacentral:rRNA from 1 species
GCUGAGAGGCGACGCCCCCUGGACUGAGACCCGCCCAGACUCUACGGAGCAGCAGUGGGAUAUGCACAUGGGGAACUGAUGCAGCGACGCGCGUGAGGAUGACGGCUUCGGGUGUAACCUCUUUCAGUAGGGAAGAAGCCUUUCGAGGUGACGGUACCUGCAGAAGAAGUACCGGCUAACUACGUGCCAGCAGCCGCGGUAAUACGUAGGGUACAAGCGUUGUCCGGAAUUAUUGGGCGUAAAGAGCUCGUAGGCGGUCCGUCGCGUCUGCUGUGGAAACGCAAGGCUCAACCUUGCGCGUGCAGUGGGUACGGGCGGACUAGAGUGCAGUAGGGGAGUCUGGAAUUCCUGGUGUAGCGGUGAAAUGCGCAGAUAUCAGGAGGAACACCGGUGGCGAAGGCGGGACUCUGGGCUGUUACUGACGCUGAGGAGCGAAAGCAUGGGGAGCGAACAGGAUUAGAUACCCUGGUAGUCCAUGCCGUAAACGUUGGGCACUAGGUGUGGGGCUCAUUCCACGAGUUCCGCGCCGCAGCUAACGCAUUAAGUGCCCCGCCUGGGGAGUACGGCCGCAAGGCUAAAACUCAAAGGAAUUGACGGGGGCCCGCACAAGCGGCGGAGCAUGCGGAUUAAUUCGAUGCAACGCGAAGAACCUUACCAAGGCUUGACAUACACCGGAAUGUGCCAGAGAUGGUUCAGCCCUUUGGGCUGGUGUACAGGUGGUGCAUGGUUGUCGUCAGCUCGUGUCGUGAGAUGUUGGGUUAAGUCCCGCAACGAGCGCAACCCUCGUUCUAUGUUGCCAGCACGUGAUGGUGGGAACUCAUAGGAGACUGCCGGGGUCAACUCGGAGGAAGGUGGGGAUGACGUCAAAUCAUCAUGCCCUUUAUGUCUUGGGCUUCACGCGUGCUACAAUGGUCGGUACAAAGGGUUGCGAGACCGUGAGGUGGAGCGAAUCCCAGAAAGCCGAUCUCAGUUCGGAUCGUAGUCUGCAACUCGACUACGUGAAGUCGGAGUCGCUAGUAAUCGCAGAUCAGCACGUGCG